GACGAACGCUGGCGGCGUGCUUAACACAUGCAAGUCGAACGGAAAGGCCCUGCUUUUGUGGGGUGCUCGAGUGGCGAACGGGUGAGUAACACGUGAGUAACCUGCCCUUGACUUUGGGAUAACUUCAGGAAACUGGGGCGAAUACCGGAUAGGAUCUCCUGCUGCAUGUUGGGGGUUGGAAAGAGUCGGCGGUUGGGGAUGUACUCGCGGGGUAGGAGCUUGUUGGUGAGGUAGUGGCUUACCAAGGCUAUGACGGAUAGCCGACCUGAGAGGGUGACGGGCCACACUGGAACGGAGACACGGUCCAGACGACUAAGGGAGGCAGCAGUAGGGAAGCUUCCGCAAUGGGCGAAAGGCUGACGGAGCAACGCCGCGUGAGUGAGGAAGGUCGUCGGAUCGUAAAACUCUGUUAUUAGGGAAGAACAUAUGUGUAAGUAACUGUGCACAUCUUGACGGUACCUAAUCAGAAAGCCACGGCUAACUACGUG
rnacentral:rRNA from 1 species